rnacentral:misc_RNA from 1 species
UGUUUUUGGCCAGUACUUGGAAAAUAUCAUCAGGAAUCCACAACCUACUACGUUCUCCAGGCUCUUCCUUGGAUUGCUGUCGUACAAUUUCCUGACCCAUUUCCUGUAACAUACCAUGCAUCAACAACAUAUCAUCUGAAGUGGUUAUAAGAGCUCUGUCCUUGAGAACUGCAAAUGCAAUAUCUGGAAAGAAACCACAACAUUCUAGAAUAUCUCUUGCAAUUUUCAUGUCCCAA